rnacentral:rRNA from 1 species
CUCGUAGGCGGUUCGUCGCGUCCGGUGUGAAAGUCCAUCGCUUAACGGUGGAUCUGCGCCGGGUACGGGCGGGCUGGAGUGCGGUAGGGGAGACUGGAAUUCCCGGUGUAACGGUGGAAUGUGUAGAUAUCGGGAAGAACACCAAUGGCGAAGGCAGGUCUCUGGGCCGUUACUGACGCUGAGGCUCGAAAGUGUGGGUAGCAAACA